CAGUAGCCGCGGUAAUACGGAGGGUGCAAGCGUUAAUCGGAAUUACUGGGCGUAAAGCGCACGCAGGCGGUCUGUCAAGUCAGAUGUGAAAUCCCCGGGCUUAACCUGGGAACUGCAUUUGAAGCUGGCAGGCUAGAGUCUUGUAGAGGGGGGUAGAAUUCCAGGUGUAGCGGUGAAAUGCGUAGAGAUCUGGAGGAAUACCGGUGGCGAAGGCGGCCCCCUGGACAAAGACUGACGCUCAGGUGCGAAAGCGUGGGGAGCAAACAGGAUUAGAUACCCCGGUAGUCCCUGUCUCUUAUAC
rnacentral:rRNA from 1 species